rnacentral:tRNA from 1 species
CGGGCUGUGGCGCAGCUUGGUAGCGCGCGUCGUUCGGGACGACGAGGCCGCAGGUUCAAAUCCUGUCAGCCCGACCG